rnacentral:tRNA from 1 species
GGGCUUUAGCUCAGCUGGGAGAGCGCCUGCAUGGCAUGCAGGAGGUCAGCGGUUCGAUCCCGCUAAGCUC